UACGAAGGGGGCGAGCGUUGUUCGGAAUUACUGGGCGUAAAGGGCGCGUAGGCGGUCUUAUAAGUUUUAGGUGAAAUACUGGGGCUCAACUCCAGUGCUGCUUAGAAUACUGCAAGACUUGAGAGCGGGAGAGGUAAUCGGAAUUCCUAGUGGAGAGGUAAAAUUCGUAGAUAUUAGGAGGAACACCAGAUGCGAAGGCGGAUUACUAGAACGUUUCUGACGCUGAGGCGCGAAAGCGUGGGGAUCAAACAGG
rnacentral:rRNA from 1 species